CGACGGGGGAGCCCGAGCAUGCGCAACAGGAGGAGCGCGAGUGAUCGAGACCGUAUUCUGUGCUGUUGCUACAGGAAAGGUCUAUUUCUCCGUGAGUGUUCACCGGAGGUUUCCACGUCCUCCAAAAACCGAACAAUGAAUACCCCCCUGCACAGACUCACAGAGCCCUACUGUACGCCCACGCGCACAUCAUCCCUCACAGCCUAUAGAGAGACGGGAGUGACGAGGGGACGGCGACUGGAUGUGAGUGGGAGAAAUCCAGGAGGAGGGCUUGGCAGGGGGAGAAUCCUGAGAAAGUGAGCUGGCUGGCUGGCGGGCUUGGCGGAGACAUGGCGACCGUGGACACGAGGAGAACAGUACACCGGUCUGUAGAGAAGCUCCCCGGAGGCGAGUCGGCGUUUCAGCUCCCGCCACAGCAGCUCCCUCUCCUUCUGGGCGCCCUUCAUGAAGCCUCUGUUCUCCUGGGCCCUCCGAGACAGGUGUAGGUGGGAGCGCAGUGGACGAGCUCUCAGACGGACCCACCCACAAGAUGGCGCAGGUGCAAAUGCUAAACCCGACGCUUCAGAACGGCAGUUCACAAACCAACGGGGUGACGCGGACACUUGGGGCCGGACUGAAACUGUCAAAUCAACAGGCCUCGUGCGUAGCACAGGAGAGAUCGGUGUCUAGUCACUGUGUGGUCGUGUGUGAGAGUGUAUUUGGU